AAAUGAAGCAAUGUUUUAAAGCGAUAUAUGUAUACACCACAGUUUUACAUUUAUUGACAAUAAAUGUCAACAAGAUUGUCUGAAAAAUAGACAGUUGUUAAAUAAAUUCAAUUGUUGUUUUUGAUGCAUUUUAUAAUUUCUUCAAAUCAAAUAUUUAAAUUAAAUAUUAAGUUAACUUCUCGCAAGUUUUCUAUGAAGCGGACAAGUGUAACGUUCGACUGCUGAGAAGAGACUGAUGUAUCGUUCGAUAUAUUGCAAAGCGGACUGUACAAUGCGCAUGUGCCUCAAAAAUAAGAGAGAAAAGAGCUGAAUAUUAUAACGCAAGAAGGAUAGAGACAUUUCGCAGCAAUUUAGAUAAAUUAUGUUUCUUUCUGUUCAUUUCAGAACUUGACUUUUCUUUUAAAAUAGCUUCAGCAUAUACAUUAUGGCAAAUAUCAUUAUGGCAUUAUGGCAUUAUGGCAUUAUGGCAUUAUUUGGUAAUAAAUUAUUCAUUUGACUAUUUUAUUAUUUGUCAAAUAUUUUAUCGUUUCUCAGAUACUUUAAAAGGAAAGAAAUAAUGGAACGUGCAAACAUUAAUAUUAUUUCGAUGUGCGAUUCUAUUUUCGGUUCAGUUGCUGUUCGUUUUUGGUAGAAUAUGCAUCUAAUCGAAGAACAUUACUAUACAAUUAAUAAAAGUUUUCUAAAGAUGUUAGGUAUCUGGCCUCAUAACAAAUCGCGAUUUAUAUUAUUGCAACGGAUAUUGAUUACUUUUGUAACUGUGACGUAUAUUAGCAUGCAGUGGUCAAUUUUUAUUACGGCAGAAUGUACUAUGCCUCUCUUUGUUAAAACUAUGAUACGCUCGUAUCCUUUUGCGAUAAUUGUAAUGAAGUACUUCAUUUUUAUGUUUAAAUCCGAAGCUAUAAAAAACAUGCACUAUCAAAUUCAACAAGAUUGGAAGUUAUUGCGAAACAAAUUAGAAAGCAAGAUUAUACAACAAUAUGCUCACGAGGGGCAACUGUGUACUUUAUUUAUAUUCUCAUUCAUCAGUUUUAUAUUGGUGCUUGUGACUGUUAUUCAAUUUCUUCCGAAUAUUCUUGAUGUUAUCUUACCUUUGGACGAGCCGCGGCCACGUAGACUCCUUGUUACCGCAGAAUAUUUCAUCGUUAAAACGAAUGAUAAAUACUACUAUACCCGAGUAUUUCAUGAACUCGUAUUCCUUACGAUGUGUGCAUCAAUGAUAUUUGCCACAGCGACACAACUGUUAACAUUUGCCUUCCAUUCUUUCGGGAUGUUCAAAAUUGCCAGUCACCGAAUAAAGUACUCCAUUGAAGAAAGUAUCUUGCACGUACAAAAGUUUGGAAAGGAGUACACAAUGUGCAAAACGAUCAUGCACGCCGUAACUGCACACCGUCGAGCCAUGGAGUUCUCCAAUAUUUUUAUAUCUUGUUUCAAUGCACCAUACUGCGUCAUGGCUAUUCUUGGAAUAAUCUCGUUAAGCAUCAGUUUAUACGGACUUAUUGAGGCAGCAACGAUAUCAAAGAGCAUGGAGAAUCUCGUAAUAUGUUUCAUAUCCGUAAUAGGUCAUCUGGUUUACAUAUUUGUAGCGAGUUAUGUUGGACAAAAGAUUAUUGAUUACAAUAACGAUCUUUUUAAAUUAGCAUAUAACACAUCAUGGUACUUGAUGCCUGUGUCAUCGCAAAAAUUAAUUUUGUUCCUAAUGCAAAAAACUAGCAGAGACUUUUACUUCAUGAUUGGUUUAAUAUUUGUAGCAAAGAUGGAAAGUUCUACUACGCUUAUGAAUGCUGCGUUGUCCUAUGUCGCCGUGAUGUAUAGCUGCGUACAAAAAUAAUAUUUUGUUUGCUUAUUAUCAGUAAAUAGUUUCUGUGACGUUUAGGAAAAAUAUUUAUAUUGUAGCGAAAUAUGUAGUAUCAUAUGAAGUACAUAGAUAAAGUACAUAUAUCAUGAGGAAGUAGUAUACUCACCCGUUGCUUAAACAAUACUGAGACUAGAAGAACAAUUGGUCAUAGAAAAUCAUUAUUGCGCAUGCGUUAUUUUCAAUAUUGACCAAAGUAUUUGGAAUAUAGUCAGUUAUUUUCACCGUGGGAAGCUGUAUUACUUGCACGUAUGGAUCAAUUUUCAUAAUUGCACCAAUUGUCUGCAUGCAUAUAUCAUUUUCUCUCGACGA
rnacentral:misc_RNA from 1 species